UAACCGCAUAGGGGAGCCGGAGGGAAACCGAGUCUUAAUUGGGCGUUAAGUUGCAGGGUAUAGACCCGAAACCCGGUGAUCUAGCCAUGGGCAGGUUGAAGGUUGGGUAACACUAACUGGAGGACCGAACCGACUAAUGUUGAAAAAUUAGCGGAUGACCUGUGGCUGGGGGUGAAAGGCCAAUCAAACCGGGAGAUAGCUGGUUCUCCCCGAAAGCUAUUUAGGUAGCGCCUCGUGAAUUCAUCUCCGGGGGUAGAGCACUGUUUCGGCCAGGGGGCCAUCCCGGCUUACCAAUCCGAUGCAAACUGCGAAUACCGGAGAAUGUUAUCACGGGAGACACACGGCGGGUGCUAACGUCCGUCGUGAAGAGGGAAACAACCCAGACCGCCAGCUAAGGUCCCAAAGUCAUGGUUAAGUGGGAAACGAUGUGGGAAGGCCCAGACAGCCAGGAUGUUGGCUUAGAAGCAGCCAUCAUUUAAAGAAAGCGUAAUAGCUCACUGGUCGAGUCGGCCUGCGCGGAAGAUGUAACGGGGCUAAACCAU
rnacentral:rRNA from 1 species